rnacentral:lncRNA from 1 species
GCUGUAAGUCUGAUGCAUGUUCUGACGGUGAAGAUUGUUUUGACGACACCAAUGAAGAUAAUGAGAUCACUUUGUAAGUUUAUUCAUCAAUUUUCCAUACAUACGACGAUUAUGUUGGCAUUAGCUUUUAGAAAUCAAAGGGGUAGGCCCGGCAAGAACCCAUCUUGGUCCCAAAAUACAGCGUUUUUACAAAGUUGCUGAAAAUGUGAACUUUAAGCUACUCAUUGGAAAGUAGAAUACUUGUGUUACAUAGAUAUGGGACGUUUCCACUUUCAUACACUGGACAUGCAUCAGAUAAAAUGGAAGUGGCUGCACUCUUUAUAUUUG